GGAAUGGAGAUAAAAAUCCUUUCGCAUGGCUGCAACAUCUGCCACCCCGUUGAUCGCCAGGUUGAUUCAGCUGAUCUGGCUGGCUAGGCGGCUGUCCCCUUCGUCCCUCACCUCUCCGUGUGCGCCCCUCCCAUAGCUGCAUGCCUGGUAGAAGAGGACGACCACCCCUGAUAGAGGAAAACAGUUUCCUUGGUCAAGGAUAUAUGAAUAGCUGCGCUCCAAUGCUAAAACCCCCAAACAAGCUCUCAAUGUCCAAAAAUUAUUUCCCAUAAAAACAAAACUGAAGAAAUUCAUCAAUAAUAUACCAAUGAUACAGGAAACGCUAAGGGGGUUCCUCAAAUU
ensembl:misc_RNA 7SK 7SK RNA